rnacentral:rRNA from 1 species
CCUACGGGAGGCAGCAGUGGGGAAUAUUGCGCAAUGGGCGAAAGCCUGACGCAGCGACGCCGCGUGGGUGAUGAAGGCCUUCGGGUUGUAAAGCCCUGUCGGGUGGAACGAACGAUCUGGCGGCGAAUAACCGCCGGGUGUGACGGUACCACCGAAGGAAGCCCCGGCUAACUACGUGCCAGCAGCCGCGGUAAGACGUAGGGGGCGAGCGGUGUUCGGGUUUACUGGGCGUGAGACGCGCGUCGGCGGCGGAAGCGGGCGGCUUAACCGAGGGACCGCAUCCGAUACUGUCUGGCUCGAGUCUAGGAGAGGAAAGCGGAAUUCCCAGUGUAGCGGUGAAAUGCGUAGAUAUUGGGAGGAACACCGGUGGCGAAGGCGGCUUUCCGGACUAGUACUGACGCUGAGGCGCGAAAGCUAGGGGAGCGAACGGGAUUAGAUACCCGAGUAGUC